rnacentral:rRNA from 1 species
AGUGAACGCUGGCGGUAGGCCUAACACAUGCAAGUCGAACGGCAGCACAGAGGAGCUUGCUCCUUGGGUUGCGAGUGGCGGACGGGUGAGGAAUACAUCGGAAUCUACUCUGUCGUGGGGGAUAACGGAGGGAAACGUACUCUAAUACAGCAUACGACCUACUGGUGAAAGCAGGGGAUCUUCGGACCUUGCCCGAUUGAAUGAGCCGAUGUCGGAUUAGCUAGUUGGCGGGGUAAAGGCCCACCAAGGCGACGAUCCGUAGCUGGUCUGAGAGGAUGAUCAGCCACACUGGAACUGAGAAACGGUCCAGACUCCUACGGGAGGCAGCAGUGGGGAAUAUUGGACAAUGGGCGCAAGCCUGAUCCAGCCAUACCGCGUGGGUGAAGAAGGCCUUCGGGUUGUAAAGCCCUUUUGUUGGGAAAGAAAUCCAUCUGGUUAAUACCCGGGUGGGAUGACGGUACCCAAAGAAUAAGCACCGGCUAACUUCGUGCCAGCAGCCGCGGUAA